rnacentral:lncRNA from 1 species
AACUUUUGAGGUGAUAGAGGUCAAAACCACCUAACACCAAAAAAAAUAAAAAUCAUAAUACCACGAAAGUAUUCCUCCUCUCUUUUCCAUUUCAUUCCCUGUCUGUCCUUUAAUAAUUCUGUGUGCCUUUUUCUACCUCCGGUCAGAGAGACCCUCAACAUCAUAAAAGCAUAUACACUCAGCUAGCACUUCAUCCUUGACUCGAAAGGAUAAAAAAUCACAAUAAUUAGUGUUGCCGCUUCAUGAUUGUUGGAAAAGUGAUAAAUUAUGUGGUUAAGUAGGAGCAAGGCAAGAGAGACUGACCCAUUAGUCAUAUUGCACAUUGCAUUCAACAAAAGAUAAAGCACAAGGAAACAAAAGUCCCCACGAGUGAAACCGUGGGUGGUGGUGGGACUGUAUUAUAUGCUAUCAUUGACCAUGCAUUUUUGCUUUCCAAACCCAGCACAAGUAGCUGACAAUUUUUUUUUUUUUUUUGGGUACGACCCCUUUUUUGUGGAAAGAUCGGUGGGCACCCAAAAAUA